GGAGGUUAAAAAACUGUUUCUUGACUUUUAACUAAAAAAACUAAGAACCAGUUCUUAAAGUUCUUAGUUUUUUUAGUUAAAAGUUAAGAAACAGUUUCUUAAAUUCC
rfam:Brassica oleracea var. oleracea cultivar TO1000 chromosome C9, whole genome shotgun sequence